rnacentral:lncRNA from 1 species
GCAGAACUCUGAGGAAUAGCAACAUGGUUAAAAUAAGAGAGCCUAUGAAUAAGAAGGAAGCAGCUGUCAGGGACGUAGAAGCAGAACCAAGAGAAUAUAGUGGGAAAGAUCAUUAAAGAGGUUGGGGGCCCAUGCUGCUGGAGGCUUUAGUAAUAUAGACAUGGAAAAACUUCCAUUCACUUCUCAAUUCACUUCUUCUUCCAUUCACUCUCAAAGUCAUUGGUAGGCCCAUCAAAAAUAACUCCCCAAAACAUGGACCAGUAGAAAGGGGCAGAAGCCACGGGGCAUUAGUCUUAGGAACAAACGGGAGAUGGCCAAGUGGGGGAGAGAGUGAAGACAGUCUAGAAGGGGUUAUGGAAGAACACCACCCCACCCCCAAGGAGAGCAGCAGAGGAUCAGGAACCCAUGCGAGAAGACAUUUGUUAAGAAAUCAAAUCCAGAGGCAUGACUUGUAGUUCCAGAUGUCCCAGAAGACAGAAACUUGUGGAUUCCUUGAUCAUGACAGCAUUGAAAUUCUGAGGUAAAAUUUCCAUAAAGAAUGUAUUGUCUCAUCUUUCCUAAAUAACACUGACUCUGGUUUCUGAGUUAUACACAAGAUACAUUAGUAAAAUCCAUAAAUACACAUCAGCAUUUUGUCCCACCCAAACUGAAACUAUUGUUU